rnacentral:rRNA from 2 species
GGGGGGCGUGCUAAUACAUGCAAGUCGAACGAACUCUGGUAUUGAUUGGUGCUUGCAUCAUGAUUUACAUUUGAGUGAGUGGCGAACUGGUGAGUAACACGUGGGAAACCUGCCCAGAAGCGGGGGAUAACACCUGGAAACAGAUGCUAAUACCGCAUAACAACUUGGACCGCAUGGUCCGAGCUUGAAAGAUGGCUUCGGCUAUCACUUUUGGAUGGUCCCGCGGCGUAUUAGCUAGAUGGUGGGGUAACGGCUCACCAUGGCAAUGAUACGUAGCCGACCUGAGAGGGUAAUCGGCCACAUUGGGACUGAGACACGGCCCAAACUCCUACGGGAGGCAGCAGUAGGGAAUCUUCCACAAUGGACGAAAGUCUGAUGGAGCAACGCCGCGUGAGUGAAGAAGGGUUUCGGCUCGUAAAACUCUGUUGUUAAAGAAGAACAUAUCUGAGAGUAACUGUUCAGGUAUUGACGGUAUUUAACCAGAAAGCCACGGCUAACUACGUGCCAGCAGCCGCGGUAAUACGUAGGUGGCAAGCGUUGUCCGGAUUUAUUGGGCGUAAAGCGAGCGCAGGCGGUUUUUUAAGUCUGAUGUGAAAGCCUUCGGCUCAACCGAAGAAGUGCAUCGGAAACUGGGAAACUUGAGUGCAGAAGAGGACAGUGGAACUCCAUGUGUAGCGGUGAAAUGCGUAGAUAUAUGGAAGAACACCAGUGGCGAAGGCGGCUGUCUGGUCUGUAACUGACGCUGAGGCUCGAAAGUAUGGGUAGCAAACAGGAUUAGAUACCCUGGUAGUCCAUACCGUAAACGAUGAAUGCUAAGUGUUGGAGGGUUUCCGCCCUUCAGUGCUGCAGCUAACGCAUUAAGCAUUCCGCCUGGGGAGUACGGCCGCAAGGCUGAAACUCAAGGAAAUUGACGGGGGCCCGCACAAGCGGUGGAGCAUGUGUUUUAAUUCGUAGCUACGCGAAGAACCUUAACAGGUCUUGACAUACUAUGCAAAUCUAAGAGAUAAGACGUUACCUUCAGGGACAUGGA